rnacentral:rRNA from 1 species
AACGAGCGCUGGCGGCAGGCCUAACACAUGCAAGUCGAGCGAGCAUUUCGGUGCUAGCGGCGGACGGGUGAGUAACGCGUGGGAACGUGCCCUUUUCUGCGGAAUAGUCCUGGGAAACUGGGGGUAAUACCGCAUACGCCCUUUUGGGGAAAGAUUUAUCGGAGAAGGAUCGGCCCGCGUUGGAUUAGGUAGUUGGUGGGGUAAUGGCCCACCAAGCCGACGAUCCAUAGCUGGUUUGAGAGGAUGAUCAGCCACACUGGGACUGAGACACGGCCCAGACUCCUACGGGAGGCAGCAGUGGGGAAUCUUAGACAAUGGGGGCAACCCUGAUCUAGCCAUGCCGCGUGAGUGAUGAAGGCCUUAGGGUUGUAAAGCUCUUUCAGCUGGGAAGAUAAUGACGGUACCAGCAGAAGAAGCCCCGGCUAACUCCGUG